CGCGGGGUGGAGCAGCCCGGUAGCUCGUCAGGCUCAUAACCUGAAGGUCAUAGGUUCAAAUCCUAUCCCCGCAACCA
rnacentral:tRNA from 337 species